rnacentral:rRNA from 1 species
GGGAAUAUUGGACAAUGGGCGAAAGCCUGAUCCAGCAAUGCCGCGUGAGUGAUGAAGGCCUUAGGGUUGUAAAGCUCUUUUACCCGGGAAGAUAAUGACGGUACCCACGGAAGAAGCCCCGGCUAACUUCGUGCCAGCAGCCGCGGUAAUACGAAGGGGGCUAGCGUUGUUCGGAUUUACUGGGCGUAAAGCGCACGUAGGCGGAUCGUUAAGUCGGGGGUGAAAUCCUGGAGCUCAACUCCAGAACUGCCUUCGAUACUGGCGAGCUUGAGUCCGGAAGAGGUGAGUGGAACUCCUAGUGUAGAGGUGGAAUUCGUAGAUAUUAGGAAGAACACCAGUGGCGAAGGCGGCUCACUGGUCCGGUACUGACGCUGAGGUGCGAAAGCGUGGGGAGCAAA